CACACACACACACACACAGCAGUGUGUGUAUGUGUGUAUAUAUUUGUAUGUAUAUAUAUAUAUAUAUAUAUACACAUAUAUAUAUAUACAUAAAUACAUAUAUAUGCGGCGUGUGCUUGUGCUUU